GCGACCCCAGGAUGGGCGAGGCCACCCGCUGAGUUUAAGCAUAUCAAUAAGCGGAGGAGAAGAAACUUACGAGGAUUCC
rnacentral:rRNA from 5 species